rnacentral:lncRNA from 1 species
AUGCAGCAAAUGUAGAAUUCAACACUGCCUGGCAACAGUUUCGAAUUUGUUCUCCCAAAAUGCUUCUGAUUAGUGAUCUGAAGGCACGUGUGAAAAAUGAUAAGGAUUUCACAGUUUGUGUUAUCUUCCCAGUGCCACUCAUCCCAAUUUUGAUGCACACCUCAGGACGCAACGCUGGAAAAAUGCAUGGCAAGGAAACCACUGUUUGAUACAUGAAAUACAAACUACCAAUCCAAAUGAAACGUUCCAUACAGAGUUAUGUAUACAUAGAGCUAGGAGGUACUAGAAUGCAGUCCUACCAGUAUAGUUGUAAAAAGAUAUCAUAUCAAAUACUAAUUAAGGGGAGCAUU